GUACUGUUGGCGUACUUGAAUGGUCCAGCCUGCUGUCCAGCGCUAUAUGAUCCCAGAAAGUGUUCAACUUUUACUCGUCUGUUCCUGCUGUGGCUCCUGGAUGUCUGUUAAAUGUCCGGGUUUCAGGAUUUGUCAGUUUUUCCUAAUGAGGUCCAUCAGCUGUCAGUGAAUAAAGAAGCGGCAUGCCCUGAGCAGCAGGAGGUGAGUGAGCCUCUGAAAAUUAAAGAUGAACCUGAGGAACUGUGGAGCAAUCAAGAGGGAGAGCAACUUCAAGGGCAAAUGGAGGAUGACAUCAUCAAGUUCACUUUUGUUCCUGUGAAGAGUGAAGAUGAUGAAGAGGAACCUCAACGACAUUCUGAGGUCAAAACUGAAGACUCUUCUGAUCCUGAGACUGAUGACAGCACUGAUUGGAGGGAGAUGACAGAACACCAGUCAGGUUUAAAGUCAGUGGAAAAAAGCACAAGAAAGAGAGCAAAGAAUAAAAAGAAAUUGUAUGUCUGCUCUCUGUGUGGAAAAAGAUUCAAGGGGAAAACAGGUUUGACGAGACACGUGGUAGUUCAUACCAAAGAAAAACCCUUUAGCUGCUCUGUGUGUGGUCAGAGAUUUACUUAUAAAGGCAGUGUGACCUCACACAUGAGAAUUCACACAGGAGAGAAACCAUUUGUUUGCUCUGUGUGUGGCAAAAGAUUUAACCGUGAAGGAAGUUUGACCACACACAUGGUAGUUCAUACUAAACAAAAACCCUUUCGCUGCACUGAGUGUGGUAAGAGAUUUACCCGAAGAGGCAGUGUGACGACACAUAUGACAACUCACAAAGGAGAAAAACCUUUUGGCUGCUCUGUGUGUGAUCAGAGAUUUACCCAAAAAGGAAGUUUAACUGCUCACAUGAGAAUCCACACGGGAGAGAAACCAUUUGUCUGCUCUCUGUGUGGUGAAAGAUUUAACCAUAAAAUAAGCCUGAACAAUCACAUGAUAGUUCAUACCAAAGAAAAACCAUACAGCUGCUCUGUGUGUGGUAAGAGAUUUAACCAAAGGGACAGUGUGACGGUACACAUGAGAAUUCACACAGGAGAGAAACCAUUUGGUUGCUCUGAGUGUGGCAAAAAAUUUAACCGUCAAGCAACUUUGACCAGACAUAUGGUGAUUCAUACCAGAGAAAUCCCGUCCAGCAGCUCUCAGUGUGGUGAGAGAUUUACCCAAGACAAAAAUGAGACUGAACACGUAAAAAAUCAUGACGCAGCAUCAGCAGGAUUAUCUGAUACGACAUGGUCCAGAGAACAUCAUUACUGUUUACCCUGUGAAAAGUGGUGACUUCCUCUUUGUAAUAAGAAAUGUAAUAUUGCUAAUAGACCUCUCUGACUGUGAUGGAACACUCCACUGGAAUUCUCCAUUUGAAGAUGCACAACCUCACAGUCAUGAAGAUUUCCCGCCGAGCACUGAUGACUUGUUUGGAUGUCCCGGUGUUCUGUAUGAGCGUUCAGAGUGGACUUUUCUCGUCCUUCUUCGACCCUUGGAUGUUUGUCAAAUGUCCGGCUUUCAGACUCUUUCAGGUCUGAUCUCACUUCAUCAAUAUGAAUUGAACAUGCAGACCACCAAGCAGGACAAUGCAUCUGAUGGCAGCUGAGUGUGUCUGAGCUCUUCUUACCUCAGUGAUUUUAACCUUUAUUUUACUCCUCACUUGUGUAUUUUAAGAAAUCUUUUGGAACAUAAAUCAUCUCAAAACAUAUCCUUUGGCAAGCACUGAAGAAGUAUUAGAUGGCCCUUUCUUAUGGUGAUAUCUGCUGGAUUCCUGUAACCUUGGCCUACUCAGCCUAGUGUGCUUGGCACAGCCUGAGGCCUAUAGCUUCAGGCUAGCAGCAGUGGUUUUCAAAGGAGUCCCCCAAACAUCUAAGGAAAGGAUGUCCACACGUAAAAACCUAAAGAAUGUCACAGAAGCUGAACCAGGGUUUGUGACUGUAGACACACUAAAAGAGAUGUUGGAUCAGCAAAAGACUUUUUAUGAGGAGGUACUGAAAAGACAAGAGGCUUCAUUCCGGUGCUUCACACAAAUGAUAUUGGAUUCAACCAACAACAGAAUUGAUGGAAUAAUGAGAGAGAUCCAGGACUUGAGUAACAGUCUGCAAUACUCUCGGAAGGAUAUUGAGGAAAUUAAAGAAGCAAAUGAUGGGGAUAAAAAGGCUUUUAAGGACCUAGAACAAUUGAUCAAACAACUUGAUUCCAUUCCUAAUCAAUCUGACCGUCUUUUGGAGCGUCUGGACUACCUGGAGAGCCAAAGCAGAAGGAACAACAUUAUCAUCGAUGGAAUUUCUUUAGAUCAUGCAGAGGAGACAUGGGCAGAAACAGAGAGCAAGGUGCGUGAACUGUUAACCACCAAGUUGAAACUGGAGGCAAAUUCCAUUCACAUCGAACAAGCCCAUAGAAGAGGAAAAUUCAGAGAGGAGGCUGAAAAACCCAGAAGCAUUGUUGUGAAGCUACUGAGUUUUAAGGAAAAGACACUCAUCAUGGAGAAGGCCAGAGCACACCUGAAAAACACCUCUGUGUACAUAAAUGAGGACUUCUCUGAAAAGCUAAGGAAAAAGAGAGCUGAGCUCCUGCCUGCAAUGAAAGAAGCUAGAGCAAAAGUUUUUCCUGUGGAGGUCCAGCAGCUGUCAGUGAGUAAAGACGAUGUUUUCCCCAGGCAGCAGGAGGAGAGCUCCAGUUUGAACCAGGAGAUUAGCAAGCAUCUGAAAAUUAAAGAUGAACCUGACGAACUGUGGUGCAAUCAAGCAAGAGAGCGAAUUCAUGGGCUAGAGGAGGAUGAUAUGAAGCUGACUUUUGUUCCUGUCCCUGUGAAGAGUGAAGAUGAUGAAGAGAAACCUCAGUCCUCACAGCUUCAUCAAGAACAAACCAAACAGUUAGAAUCAGGAGCUGAUGGAGAGGACUGUGGGGAUACAGAUAGAGAUUUACAACAACAAUCUGAGGUCAAAACUGAUGAAUCUUCUGAUCCUGAGACUGAUGACAGUGCUGAUUGGAGGGAGAUGACAGAAGACCAGUCAGACUUUAAGGCAAUGGAAAACAGCAGAAAAAGGAAAGCAAAAACUAAAAAUAAGUUACAUCACUGCUCAGAGUGUGGAAAAGGAUUUAAUUAUAAAAUGGAUUUGACUAGACACAUGGUAGUUCAUACCAAAGAGAAACUCUUCAGCUGCUCUGUGUGUGAUCAAAGAUUUACACAAAAAGGAAGUGUGACUGUUCACAUGAGAAUUCACACAGGAGAGAAACCAUUUGGUUGCUCUGUGUGCGGAAUGAGAUUUACCAAAAAAGGAGAUUUAACUCGUCACACAAGAACUCAUGAAAGAAUAAAACCUUUUGUCUGUUCUCACCGUGGCAAAGGGUUUCACAACAAAAUGAAUUUGAUGAGACACGUGAUAGAUCAAACCUGAGAGAGACCAUUCAGCUGCUCUGUGUCUGGUCAGAAAUCCCAAAGUAGACAGACACAUAUCUGACAAGAAUUCUCGCACAGGAGUGUGUAAUAAUUCAUCUAGGACAACUAAAGUGACAUCAAAACCCCACGCUACAAGGGGGGAAAGGGCCUUUCCCCCCUUGUUGCGUCUUCUUGUGUUUAUACACCCUUCCUAUCUUUGAAGUUUCCCAGGCAUUAAGACUCUGAAACUGACGCUUUGAGGAAAGACAGCUUCCAAGGGAAAUAAACACCUUAAAAUCAGAAACUUUCAAUUGGUCGACCAAAGGGUGAAUGCUUUCAGGCUAAAUCCUGCCUUCCCAGCUGUAAAAGCUCUGCACCAUGUCUCAUAAAUCUAAGGACACUGUCUUCCUGCAGAGCCUGUAGCUGACAGCUACAAACCAGGCAAGAGCCAUAAAAAUUCUGACAGACUAAGACUAUGGAAGUUAAAAAGCUUAUAAUCUGUCUGAAAUAUCACAUUUUCCAACAGGAAAUGCUCAUAUUCGUUUGAGUCUGUUUGCAAGGAACACAAGGAUACUUUGGUUAUUCCUCUAUGACUUAGUUUUAUGGUUUAAUCCAUUUAUUGACUUAUAUUCAGAAGGCUCACCAAGUUGGUAGUCCGGAGACUGAAAAUCUUUCAUGGAACCACAGUGACAUCUAAUGGUCGAUUCAGUUACUACAGUUUAAACCACGCACAGAUCCAGAAACAGCUUUUUCAUGUAUAAUUGUGUUUAUAACCAAUUAACCAUGUUUCUAAUGUUUGUGUAUGAUAGUUUAUUGAUAUUAUUCUAGAAUUUUUUAACCAUGUUAUGUUAUCUCUACAUUAUCUCAUUAAGUUAAUAACUUGGUGAAGGGUGGGUGAUCUCUAAGAAGACUUAGGAUACAAACUCCUCCUCUUUCCUUCUUAAAGAGAAGCCAUGUUAGAACAUGCGGGCAGUUCAAGAAGCAGUUCAACUGAAUGGUUCGUGAGGAGGGCUCUGUGAGUCUUCUUCGGCCACCUAGGCUCAAAUCUAAUUUUUCUUAUCCGGCACAAGAUUCUUUAAUCUUUUUAUGGUCUUUGCACUAACUUUUUUCUGUAAAGCAGAGUUUUAGUUUUUGUUUCUUUUUAUCGCACAAUCGACUUCACAGGGAGCCAACAGUCAUGUGAUGUCGAUGUUUUGAGAUGUUCAUUCGAUAUUAAUUGGACAAUCAAGAGCUGUUUUUUUUUUUGGAACGAGAGACAAUCCUCCACAGAGUCCAUGGACAAGAAUCUCUAUGGCCGUGUUUUCAUCAGGCUGAGUGAUCCAUUGGCGCCGUAGAGACCCUGUUGAAUCCAUUCAAGUCGGACCAGAGCUGGCACGUGGUAGCCUGGCACUCAGAACUUGCCAGGCGUCCUCCUCCAGUCGUCCUCCUCCAGGCAGCUCCUUUUCUCGCCAGCCUUCAUCAACGGCAAACAGUAGGGUCCAAUUCACUUCUUGGCUGCGGUUAUCUCAAAGUUCCAGUAAAAUUAGUUCAGAUCUAAUUUUUCUUCCAAAUUCACACUCCAAAUUUUAUGCCGUUAGUUAAUUUUUCCGUUACGAUUAUCAAAUAACCCACUCGUCACCAAACUAGGUUAUCAUCCUUUCUCUCU